CAGAGGAAUCAGCAUCGGCUAACUCCGUGCCAGCAGCCGCGGUAAGACGGAGGAUGCAAGCGUUAUCCGGAAUGAUUGGGCGUAAAGCGUCCGCAGGUGGCAGUUCAAGUCUGCUGUCAAAGACCGGGGCUUAACUUCGGAAAGGCAGUGGAAACUGAACAGCUAGAGUAUGGUAGGGGCAGAGGGAAUUCCUGGUGUAGCGGUGAAAUGCGUAGAGAUCAGGAAGAACAUCGGUGGCGAAGGCGCUCUGCUGGACCAUAACUGACACUCAGGGACGAAAGCUAGGGGAGCGAAUGGGAUUAGAUACCCUGGUAGUCCACACGGUAAACGAUGGAUACUCGCUGUUGGCGAUAUACUGUCAGCGGCCAAGCGAAAGCAUUAAGUAUCCCACUUGGGGAGUACGCCGGCAACGGUGAAACUCAAAGGAAUUGACGGGGCCCGCACAAGCGGAGGAACAUGUGGUUAAUUC
rnacentral:rRNA from 1 species